GCCCGCUUAGCUCAGUGGUAGAGCGCGCCACUCGUAUCAGUGAUAUGGUGAGGUCGGUUGUUCAAUCCAGCCAGUGGGCA